rnacentral:rRNA from 1 species
UGCAUGCUUUUACAGUAUGGAAAUUGGUGAUUUAUAAUAACUUGGCAAAUCGCAAAGUGAAAACAGGCGAUAAAUCAUUCAAGUUUCUGACCUAUCAGCUUUCGACGGUAUGGUAUUGGCUUACCGUGGCAGUGACGGUUAACGGGGGAUUAGGGUUCGAUUCCGGAGAGGGAGCCUGAGAAACGGCUACCACAUCUAAGGAAGGCAGCAGGCGCGCAAAUUACCCAAUUCUAACAGUUUGAGAGAGGUAGUAACAAGAAAUAACAAUACAAGGCAAUUAAAAUGCUUUGUAAUUGGAAUGAUAGAAAUUUAAACCCUUUUUAAAGUAUCAAUUGGAGGGCAAGUCUGGUGCCAGCAGCCGCGGUAAUUCCAGCUCCAAUAGCGUAUAUUAAAAUUGUUGCAGUUAAAAAGCUCGUAGUUGAAGUUCUGCUAAAAGUAACCGGUCUGCUUUUAAUAAAAGUGGUAUCUUGGUGUGUAUUUAGCAAUGAUGUCCUUUGAAGUGUUUUUUACUUUAUUGUAAUAAAGCAUAUUCAGGACUUUUACUUUGAGAAAAUUAGAGUGUUUCUAGCAGGCCGACGCUUUGAAUACUGCAGCAUGGAAUAAUAAGA